rnacentral:tRNA from 1 species
ACCUGUGUAGUGUAAAUGGUUAACGUGCUUGGUUGCUAACUAAAAAGUUGGUGGCUCGAGUCCACCCAGAGGUA